GCAAGUGCGUAGUCGUUGCUUUUCUUCUAAACAUAAUAAGCAAAAGAAGACUUGGUGGGUUGAACUUUGGAGGAGUCCACCGCUAAUCAAUAGACAUUUGUUCAAACUUCACUAUCUUCUAUCCUAUAUUUCAAAAUCCCGGUUACUGUUCACGGGUAAUUUUUUUUUUGGGGUAACUGCUCCUUACGUUUCAAAGAUGGCGGGCUUUUUCUGAUGCAAUAUUCAAGUUUUGGCCCAAAUUAAAAAACAUCAUCACCCUAACAGCUUUGACGUCUUUUGCUGCUGUUUCUUCCUCUUCAUCAAUUGUCAUCACCUUCGUCCUCCUACGCUCACAAUUGUGUUCAGUGGCCAUGGCAGUCCUAAAGUUUGCGUCAGUGGUGCAGAGUGACGUUUUUCGCUUGGCUCCUUCCCUCCUACUCCCAUCUGCAUCAUCAAGUUCACAGUUUGACGUCUUCCCCUUUCUUUUUCCUAUCGCCAGCUGGUUUUUCCUUUCCUCCUCCUACUUCGUAGCUUUGUGCAGGCUCAAUUGUAUCCCUAAAGUUCGCGUCACUGGCUUAGAAAACUAGCUGAAAUAAAAGAAACGAUGAUGAUGGUGCUUUGCUUCACCUGGAAGGAAAGAUAUGGUGUGUAUGCAAAGCCAGCUGAUCAAGAAGAGAUUCGGAUGCUGACUAUUUCCAGAAGAAGCUAAACUAUCUCCAGAGGCAAAGGAUCUUAUUAGCAAACUACUUUGUAAUGUGCAGCAGAGGCUUGGAACCAAAGGGGCUGAUGAAAUAAAGGCUCAUCCAUGGUUCAAAGGUAUUGAAUGGGACAAAUUGUACCAAAUGAAAGCUGCUUUUAUUCCUGAGGUCAAUGAUGAAUUAGAUACUCAAAAUUUUGAGAAGUUUGAGGAGGUGGACAACCAAACUCAACCUUCCUCAAAAGCAGGCCCAUGGAGAAAGAUGCUGUCAUCUAAAGAUGUUAACUUCAUCGGUUACACAUACAAGAACUUUGAAAUCGUGAAUGAUGAUCAACUGCAUGGAAUUGGUUUGUACAUCUUCAUUAUUAUACUUGACCACUAAUAUUAGUAACUAAUUUUGGAUGUUGAUACAUGAAUUGACUUUAAUUUUGGUGUAACUGUGUGGGUUUUUCUAAAGAUCAUACUGUUGAACCUUGCUAAUUGUAGGUUAUACACUUAUUGUCCCUUCUAAGACUGCAGAUGCAGAAUUUUCAAGUCACAAUUUUUUUAAACAUGACAUAGUGUAGCAAAGCGUAUAUGCACUCCUACGAAGAAGUGAUUUAACUAUUUCACGGUACAAGGAAUUUGGAACCCCUGUAAAACUGCAAUUAGAUGCAGGAGUUGUCGGCAAGGAAUGCUUCAAAUUUAGGGUAGGAAUAGGUUCAUGAUUUUCACCUUGGCAAUACAUAUUAGGGGUGUUCAUAACCGAACCAAUCCAAACAAAACCGACAAACCGAUCCAAAAAAACCGAAAUCCAAUCAAACAGAAAACCGAACGGACUGAAAAUUGAAAAAACCGAAAUUAUUUAUUGGAUCGGAUCGGAUUUUGGAUUUGAUUUCCAAACACGAACCAAUCCAAUCCAAACCGAACAUUCACAAAUAUGUAUAAUUUUAGUUAUACAUAUAUCAUUCCAUUUACACUUACAUAGUACAUAUUUAUUGUAUAUAUAUUGAUUAUAUCACACAUGCUUAUUUAUAAAAUUACGUUUUAAUAAAAACAGUUCAAGUAAUUAUUUG